GUCCCUAUCUGCCGUGGGCGUUGGAGAAUUGAGAGGGGCUGCUCCUAGUACGAGAGGACCGGAGUGGACGCAUCACUGGUGUUCCAGUUGUCUCGCCAGAGGCAUUGCUGGGUAGCUACAUGCGGAAGAGAUAAGUGCUGAAAGCAUCUAAGCACGAAACUUGCCUCAAGAUGAGUUCUCCCCGACUAUAAGUCGGUAAGGGUUGUUGGAGACUACGACGUAGAUAGGUCUGGUGUGUAAGUGGUGUGAGCCAUUGAGCUAACAGAUACUAAUUGCCCGAGAGGCUUAACUAUACAACGCUCAAG
rnacentral:rRNA from 1 species